GACGAACGCUGGCGGCGUGCUUAACACAUGCAAGUCGAACGGUGAAGCGCCUUCCUUUUUGGUGGGUGUGGAUGAGUGGCGAACGGGUGAGUAACACGUGAGUAACCUGCCCCCUUCUUCUGGAUAACCGCAUGAAAGUGUGGCUAAUACGGGAUAUUCUGGGUCUGUCGCAUGAUGGGUCUGGGAAAGAUAUUGUUUCGGUGGGGGAUGGGCUCGCGGCCUAUCAGCUUGUUGGUGGGGUGAUGGCCUACCAAGGCGGUGACGGGUAGCCGGCCUGAGAGGGUGGACGGUCACACUGGGACUGGGACACGGCCCGGACUCCUACGGGAGGCAGCAGUGGGUAAUAUUGCACAAUGGGCGCAAGCCUGAUGCAGCGACGCCGCGUGAGGGAUGGAGGCCUUGGGGUUGUGAACCUCUUUCGCCAGUGAAGCAGGCCUGCCUCGUUUGUGGGUGGGUUGACGGUAGCUGGAGAAGAAGCGCCGGCUAACUACGUG
rnacentral:rRNA from 1 species